rnacentral:rRNA from 1 species
UUCGAUAUAAAUAAAUGUUUUGUUUACCAGAGUACUACGAAUAAAAAGUUUAAAACUUAAAGGGCUUGGCGGUGCUUUAGACUUCUCAGGGGAACCUGUCUCGUAAUCGACAGUCCACGAAUCAACCUCACCUUCGUCUUGCAAUGCAGUAUGUAUACCGUCGUCGUCAGGUAACUUUUAAAAAUAAAGAAGUUAGCAAAGAAACUUUUUAAGUUUUUACGUCAGAUCAAGGUGCAGCUUAUGGGAAGGAGAAGAUGGGUUACAAUUAAAAUUUAUAAUUACGGAUGCUAGUUUUAAUAAUUAGUUUAUGAAGGCGGACUUGAAAGUACAAGUUAGUAGUCAAAUAGUUUGAAUUUAGCUCUGAAGCG